GUCGAACGAUGACGUCACUGCUUGCAGUGAUUGAUUAGUGGCGAACGGGUGAGUAACACGUGAGGAACUCGCCCAUGAGCGGGGGACAACAUUCGGAAACGGAUGCUAAUACCCCAUAGGUGGAUUGGUCGCAUGACUAAUUCAUUAAAGGUGGCUCUGCUACCACUCAUGGAUAGCCUCGCGGCGUAUUAGCUAGUUGGUAAGGUAAUGGCUUACCAAGGCAGUGAUACGUAGCCGACUUGAGAGGGUGAUCGGCCACACUGGGACUGAGACACGGCCCAGACUCCUACGGGAGGCAGCAGUAGGGAAUCUUCCACAAUGGGUGCAAACCUGAUGGAGCAAUGCCGCGUGAGUGAAGAAGGUCUUCGGAUCGUAAAGCUCUGUUGUUAGAGAAGAACACGUGCUAGGUAACUACUAGCGCCUUGACGGUAUCUAACCAGAAAGUCACGGCUAACUACGUGCCAGCAGCCGCGGUAAUACGUAGGUGACAAGCGUUGUCCGGAUUUAUUGGGCGUAAAGGGAGCGCAGGCGGUCUGUUUAGUCUAAUGUGAAAGCCCACGGCUUAACCGUGGAACGGCAUUGGAAACUGACAGACUUGAAUGUAGAAGAGGAAAAUGGAAUUCCAAGUGUAGCGGUGGAAUGCGUAGAUAUUUGGAGGAACACCAGUGGCGAAGGCGAUUUUCUGGUCUAACAUUGACGCUGAGGCUCGAAAGCGUGGGGAGCGAACAGGA
rnacentral:rRNA from 1 species